rnacentral:rRNA from 1 species
AUUGAACGCUGGCGGCAGGCCUAACACAUGCAAGUCGAGCGGAUGAAGGGUGCUUGCUCCUGGAUUCAGCGUCGGACGGGUGAGUAAUGCCUAGGAAUCUGCCUGGUCGUGCGGGAUAACGUCCGGAAACGGGCGCUAAUACCGCAUACGUCCUGCGGCUGCAAGUGGGGGAUCUUCGGACCUCACCCUCUCAGAUGAGCCUAGGCCGGACUAGCUAGCUGGUGGGGUAAAUGCCUACCAAGGCGACGAUCCGCGACUGGCCUGAGAGGAUGAUCAGUCACACUGGAAGUGAGACACGGUCCAGACGCCUGCGGGAGGCAGCAGUGGGGAAUGUUAGGCAGUGGGCGAAAGCCUGAUCCAACCAUGCCGCGUGUGUUGAGGAGGUCUUCGGAGUGUGAAGCACUUUAAGUGGGGAGGAAGGGCAGUAGGUUGAUACCUGGCUGUUGUGACGUUACCAACAGAAGAAGCACCGGCUAACUACGUG